rnacentral:rRNA from 1 species
CCUGACUGCUAUCGGAUUGAUACUAAGCCAUGCGAGUCAUUGUAGUAAUACAAGGCAGACGGCUCGGUAACGCGUAGUCAACCUAACCUAUGGACGGGAAUAACCUCGGGAAACUGAGUAUAAUGCCCGAUAGAACAUUAUGCCUGGAAUGGUUUAUGUUCCAAAUGAUUUAUCGCCGUAGGAUGGGACUGCGGCCUAUCAGUUUGUUGGUGAGGUAAUGGCCCACCAAGACUAUUACAGGUACGGGCUCUGAGAGGAGUGGCCCGGAGAUGGGUACUGAGACACGGACCCAGGCCCUAUGGGGCGCAGCAGGCGAGAAAACUUUGCAAUGUGCGAAAGCACGACAAGGUUAAUCCGAGUGGUUUCUGCUAAAGGAACCUUUUGUCGGUCCUAGAAACACCGAUGAAUAAGGGGUGGGCAAGUUCUGGUGUCAGCCGCCGCGGUAAAACCAGCACCUCAAGUGGUCAGGAUGAUUAUUGGGCCUAAAGCAUCCGUAGCCGGCUUUGUUAGUUUUCGGUUAAAUCUGUACGCUUAACGUACAGGCUGCCGGGAAUACUGCAGAGCUAGGGAGUGGGAGAGGUAGACGGUACUCGGUAGGAAGGGGUAAAAUCCUUUGAUCUAUUGAUGACCACCUGUGGCGAAGGCGGUCUACCAGAACACGUCCGACGGUGAGGGAUGAAAGCUGGGGGAGCAAACCGGAUUAGAUACCCGGGUAGUCCCAGCUGUAAACUAUGCAAACUCAGUGAUGCAUUGGCUUGUGGCCAAUGCAGUGCUGCAGGGAAGCCGUUAAGUUUGCCGCCUGGGAAGUACGUACGCAAGUAUGAAACUUAAAGGAAUUGGCGGGGGAGCACCACAAGGGGUGAAGCCUGCGGUUC